ACUUCUUAGCUCUGAUGCGGAAAGAGCUUGUAAACAUUUUGGAAAGGUGAUUCAUUUGUGUUCAAAUAGGUGUUUUAACGCAAUGCAUAGCAACUGCGUGACCUAAAUAAUACACCUGUGAAAAUUUACUGUCAAGAUAUUACAGGUUUUUGAGACUUCUCAAGGAUACUGUGUCUUGGACCUUGGACUCUGGUAACUUGCCAUCACUAGAGAUAAGCCAAUCUUCAGAAAGAAGAAGACAGACCUCAGUUUGGCGGGAGCACUAUGGAGACUGCUUAUGAUCCAUCCCCAGAGAAACCUGUACUGUGCGCCUCAGUCAGCUCCAAAACCUCCAGGUUCUCAUCCUUUUCCAGAAUUGAAGACAACACAGCCGGCAGCUCAUUCUGAUGUAACAGCUUUACUCUUAC